rnacentral:rRNA from 1 species
UACGUAGGGGGCAAGCGUUGUUCGGGAUUACUGGGCGUAAAGGGCGCGUAGGCGGCCUGUUAAGUCGGACGUGAAAUCCCCGGGCUCAACCCGGGAACUGCAUCCGAUACUGGCAGGCUUGAAUUCGGGAGAGGGAUGUGGAAUUCCAGGUGUAGCGGUGAAAUGCGUAGAUAUCUGGAGGAACACCGGUGGCGAAGGCGGCAUCCUGGACCGACAUUGACGCUGAGGCGCGAAAGCCAGGGGAGCAAACGGG